rnacentral:rRNA from 1 species
GACGAACGCUGGCGGCGCGCCUAACACAUGCAAGUCGAACGAGCGAGAGAGAGCUUGCUUUCUCAAGCGAGUGGCGAACGGGUGAGUAACGCGUGAGGAACCUGCCUCAAAGAGGGGGAAACCAGUUGGAAACGACUGCUAAUACCGCAUAAGCCCACAGGUCGGCAUCGACCAGAGGGAAAAGGAGCAAUCCGCUUUGAGAUGGCCUCGCGUCCGAUUAGCUAGUUGGUGAGGUAACGGCCCACCAAGGCAACGAUCGGUAGCCGGACUGAGAGGUUGAACGGCCACAUUGGGACUGAGACACGGCCCAGACUCCUACGGGAGGCAGCAGUGGGGAAUAUUGCACAAUGGGGGAAACCCUGAUGCAGCGACGCCGCGUGGAGGAAGAAGGUCUUCGGAUUGUAAACUCCUGUUGUUGAGGAAGAUAAUGACGGUACUCAACAAGGAAGUGACGGCUAACUACGUG